UCUUUACAUUUUCCUAUUUUGACAGCUGAGCUUUUAUGCAUGAAGUGUCAAGAGCUAGAAGUAAAGAAGCUACAAUCUAUAUAUCAGAACUGCAGCACUUCCGUCGCACUGGACAACCGUCGGCCACAUUUCCAGAAGAUGGCACGACACUCGAGGACAUCGAAACUCCUCCCAGGGAACGCGUGGCAAAUGGGGUGGAUGAUCACUACUACUAAGCAAACCACCGACACCACCCCGUCAGUUUUAAACAUCCAAGUUGAAAAGGAAGUACACAUUUAUGAGUAGGAAGAUCGAAGACAUUGAUCGGCCUUCAACUAGGAAGGCAACUUCCUCUAUUCAACAGCAUGUCCUGGAAAAGAAACGGUAUAACGAAGAGUAAACAAGAGAGCCUGGAGGACAAUAGUACCGGAGAUUCCGAGCGUGCUUCUGACUUCUAAGAUAACUACGCCCCAACAGAAUGUAAUUGUGACAAUUCUUUCGGCAAAUGUUGUCCGGGCCAACUUCCAUUUAAGUUUUUCGGCAGCAAUGUGGAUAAAAUGCAAUAUGUAUUGCAUGCCGAAAUCAAAAAUAAAUUGGUUUAGAAUACAUAAAUACUACCUCCUAAGAUGGAAAUAAGAACUCAUUACGCUAUUGCACUAGCGGAUUCGGCUGAACCGCGGAACGUUUGUGAAGGAACAUGCAGCCUCGCAUGCAGCACCACCGGAAAAAGCAGAUCCUCUGGACAUGGCCAAAGAUUCAGCAUUAAACAGAAAUCAUUCCAGAGUUAGUUUUUGUUGUUCUUCGAAAUUUGCAGUAUAUUGGAAAAAAUUGAAGAAGCAAUUAUAACUUGGAAAGCAAUGAUUUAUCAAGCCAUAAUGAGAUAACUUAAAAAAACCGUUGAUAUUUUUGAAUAAAUUAGGAAAAUUAUUCAUUAAUUAUAUAAGAUGGUAAA